GAUCAUGGCUCAGGAUGAACGCUAGCUACAGGCUUAACACAUGCAAGUCGAGGGGCAGCGGGAAGUCAGCUUGCUGACUUUGCCGGCGACCGGCGCACGGGUGAGUAACACGUAUCCAACCUUCCCGUUACUCUGGAAUAGCCUUUCGGAAGAAAGAUUAAUACCGGAUAGUAUCGAGAGAUUGCAUGAUUACCCGAUUAAAGAUUCAUCGGUAACGGAUGGGGAUGCGUUCCAUUAGGCG
rnacentral:rRNA from 1 species